rnacentral:rRNA from 1 species
GACGAACGCUGGCGGCGUGCCUAAUACAUGCAAGUAGAACGCUGAAGGAGGAGCUUGCUUCUCUGGAUGAGUUGCGAACGGGUGAGUAACGCGUAGGUAACCUGCCUGGUAGCGGGGGAUAACUAUUGGAAACGAUAGCUAAUACCGCAUAAGAGUGGAUGUUGCAUGACAUUUACUUAAAAGGUGCAAUUGCAUCACUACCAGAUGGACCUGCGUUGUAUUAGCUAGUUGGUGGGGUAACGGCUCACCAAGGCGACGAUACAUAGCCGACCUGAGAGGGUGAUCGGCCACACUGGGACUGAGACACGGCCCAGACUCCUACGGGAGGCAGCAGUAGGGAAUCUUCGGCAAUGGACGGAAGUCUGACCGAGCAACGCCGCGCGAGUGAAGAAGGUUUUCGGAUCGUAAAGCUCUGUUGUAAGAGAAGAACGAGUGUGAGAGUGGAAAGUUCACACUGUGACGGUAUCUUACCAGAAAGGGACGGCUAACUACGUGCCAGCAGCCGCGGUAAUACGUAGGUCCCGAGCGUUGUCCGGAUUUAUUGGGCGUAAAGCGAGCGCAGGCGGUUAGAUAAGUCUGAAGUUAAAGGCUGUGGCUUAACCAUAGUACGCUUUGGAAACUGUUUAACUUGAGUGCGAGAGGGGAGAGUGGAAUUCCAUGUGUAGCGGUGAAAUGCGUAGAUAUAUGGAGGAACACCGGUGGCGAAAGCGGCUCUCUGGCUUGUA